GGCGUCGGCGUCGCUUCCGCGCUGGGGCAGUAGGCCGGCUUCUGUCCGCGGGCCGCGGUUAAGUGUCGAUGGCGGAGGGCGCGUGAAGAGCCGCCAGCCGCGCGGCGUCGGCCGUGGCGUCGGGGUCGUUGUGUCGUGAGAACGACUCAGACCGCGACAGCAGGUGCGGCCGCUUUAGCCCCAGGCGGGCUCAGCGGCUGCCUGGCGAGUCUGUGCUCGCGCACAGCCCUUUCCCUCCUGGACCCAGCGCCAAGCAGCGACGCUGAGCCGACCGCCGGAGCGGCGGGCAAUGGCGGCCUCGACGGCCUCGCAUCGGCCCAUCAAGGGGAUCCUGAAGAACAAGAAUUCUACGACUUCCUCUGUGGUGGCCUCGGCCGAGCAGCGCGGCAGGAGUGUCGACGAAGAGCUGAGUAAAAAAUCCCAGAAGUGGGUUGAAAUGAACAUCCUGGCGACAUAUGUCCAGCAGACAAAGACUAUGGUUUAAUGAAAAUGGAUGAACCUACCACUCCUUACCAUAGUAUGGUAGGUGAUGAUGAAGAUGCAUUGAGUGAUUCAGAAACCACUGAAGCCCUGACCCCAGAUAUCUUAGCUAAGAAAUUAGCUGCUGCUGAAGGCUCAGAGCCAAAGUAUCGGGUUCUUGAACAAGCAAGCAGUGAAGACGAGGAUACUGACCUCUCACCUGAAGAACAAGAAAAAAAGCGACAGUUUGAAAUGAAAAGGAAGCUUCACUACAAUGAAGGACUGAAUAUUAAAUUAGCUAGACAAUUAAUUUCAAAAGACCUACAUGAUGAUGAGGAAGAUGAAGAAAUGUUAGAGACUGCAGCCAAAGAAAGCAUGAACAUGGAAGAGUCAGAUCAAGGAUCUACUACAAGUGACCAACUGCAAAACAAAUCACAGAGUUCAUAGAAAAGAUUUGUUCAACACUGUAAUUGUCAGACACAGACCCUGUUACUAUAAUACACUGCUUCUUGUUCUCAACAAUUCAUGACUUAAAUACCAGAAUGCAUACCAGUUAUUGUAUAUUGCCAAGAAUUAAAUGACUUUCGAGACUAA